CACUCCAGCCCGGGUGACAAUGCACGACUCCAUCUUAAAAAAAAAAAAAAAAUUAAGAUAACCUGUGGGUGAUUGUCACGUGCACCUGGAUAAAAAUGACUUUUAGGUCAGAAAGUGCCAGAAGGUGAGAAAUUUGGAUUCAUCUUAAAGCAUUGGGGGAUUUAUCCUACUGCAAUGAAUAGCCAUUGAAGAAUUUUAAGCAAGAAGUGAUGUGAUUAAACUUAUAGAAAUGUGGAAAAUGGAUUAGAGAGUGAGACUGUAUCCAUAGAGGUAUGUUGGAAUAGUCUGUGUGAGAGUUGUUUUAGCCUAAAUUUAAGCAGUAAUGGGAGGGAUAAUGAGAAGAAGUUUGAGAGAUACUAAAAGUGAAAAGUUAACAGACUUGAUUUUAUUUAGACAGUGCAGUCAUGUAUGUAAUUAUACAAUAUUCUUUCAGCCACAAAAGGCAGAUUACUAGGUUAUCCUUCAAACAGAUAAGGGCUGUAUGAAAUAGAUACUGCCCCUACUACUUCUUAAGUCUUUCACCUACUGUUCUAAAUGAAGAAGACAAUGGGAAGCCACUGAAGGACUGUUAACCAGAAGGGUCACAAUCACAUCCACGUUUUAAAGCUAUUAGUUUGGCUAUAAUAAUAAUAAGAGAUUGGAAGGGCACGUAUUGGAGGCAGGAAGGCAGUUGGAAGGAAGACUGCUGUAGUAAUUGGAACCAAAGAUGAUGAUACUGUAAGUGAUUGAUAGUGUCAGUGAGGAUGGAGAAGAAGGCAAGGAUUUGAAAAAGAAGUAGGAGGUAGACUGAGCAAGACUUGGAGUCUUAUUCUAACUGGGGAUUAAAGAUGACCUGAAGGUUUCUAACAUGAGUGACUUUGAUGCUUGAUGACACCAUUUCCCUAAAAAAGAUUAUAGGCCGCGGAAAAUGGUGCCUCGCAGCUUGGGUAGUCUUACAAUCCUGGUGCUUUGGGCUGCUGCCCUGCUCCUUGCUCUGGGCGUGGAAAGGGCUCUGGCGCUGCCCGAGGUACAGAAGCAAGUUUGAGGUCGAGCUGAAGCAGGGUUGAUGGCCAGCCAUGCGUCGUGCUUGCCUGCGGUUCCCUCUUCCCCUCUGCUGGCCUGCAGCUCUGAUUUCAUCCCCGACGCUUUCCGGCCCUGCCCAGCCAGGUAUGCACCCAGUGUCCCUGGAGUGUGCAAAAUUUGUCCAAAGUGGCCCUUUGUUGUAAAACAACACGAAAGCUAAUGCUGCAUGCCCAUUGCUACCUGAAUCAGAAGGGCACCAUCUUGGGGCUAGAUCUCCAGAACUGUUCUCUGGAGGACCCUGGUCCAAACUUUCAUCAGGCACGUACCACUGUCAUCAUAGACCUGCAAGAAAACUCCCUCAAAGGUGACCUGGUCAACACCUUCCGUGGCUUUACUCAGCUCCAGACUCUGAUACUGACAGUUGACAGAUGUCAACUGUCCUGAAGGAAUUAAUGCUUGGAAUACUGCCACCUCUUAUAUAGACAACCAAAUCUGUCAAGGUCAAAAGAACCUUUGUAAUAACACUGGGAACCCAGAAAUGUGUCCUGAGAAUGGAUCUUGUGUACCUGAUGGUCCAGGUAUUUUUGCAGUGUGUUUGUGCUGAUGAUUUCCACAGAUAUAAGUAUAUGUGCCAGGGCUCGUUCUCACUGCUUAUGUUCUUUGGGAUUCUGGUAUCCACCACUCUAUCCAUCUCCAUUCUGUUUUAGGGGACCCAAUGCUGAAAAGCCAAGACUUCAUGAACCACAUAGGUCUUACCAUUGACCUAAGAUCAAUCUGAUGUAUGUUAGCCCAUCCAGGGAGCUCUGCUUCCUAGACAGGCAUCUUUGGCCAGUGGAUUUGCCUGAAGGUUGAGGCCGCUAUUGGAAGUUGAAAAAUUGCACUCCCCUGGUGUAGACAAGUACCAGUUCCCAUUUGUGUUGUUGUCUAUAAUAAACACUUUUUUCUUUAAAAAAAAAAAAA